rnacentral:rRNA from 1 species
UGCGAUUACUAGCGACUCCAACUUCACGAAGUCGAGUUGCAGACUUCGAUCCGAACUGAGACCAGCUUUUAGGGAUUAGCUCCACCUCACGGCAUCGCAACCCACUGUACUGGCCAUUGUAGCAUGCGUGAAGCCCAAGACAUAAGGGGCAUGAUGAUUUGACGUCAUCCCCACCUUCCUCCGAGUUGACCCCGGCAGUCUCCCAUGAGUCCCCACCAUUACGUGCUGGCAACAUAGGAUAAGGGUUGCGCUCGUUGCGGGACUUAACCCAACAUCUCACGACACGAGCUGACGACAACCAUGCACCACCUGUACACCAGCCCCGAAGGGAAACUGCAUCUCUGCAGCGAUCCGGUGUAUGUCAAGCCUUGGUAAGGUUCUUCGCGUUGCAUCGAAUUAAUCCGCAUGCUCCGCCGCUUGUGCGGGCCCCCGUCAAUUCCUUUGAGUUUUAGCCUUGCGGCCGUACUCCCCAGGCGGGGCACUUAAUGCGUUAGCUACGGCGCGGAAAACGUGGAAUGUCCCCCACACCUA